UACAGAGGUCUCAAGCGUUGUUCGGAUUCAUUGGGCGUAAAGCGCACGUAGGUGGUCGCUUAAGUCGGAUGUGAAAGCCCUCGGCUCAACUGAGGAAGUGCAUCCGAAACUGAGUGGCUUGAGUAUGGAAGAGGGUCGCGGAAUUCCCGGUGUAGAGGUGAAAUUCGUAGAUAUCGGGAGGAACACCGGUGGCGAAGGCGGCGACCUGGGCCAAUACUGACACUGAGGUGCGAAAGCGUGGGGAGCAAACAGG
rnacentral:rRNA from 1 species